UUGCAGAGAUCUCUUUGUGAUGGU
rnacentral:piRNA from 1 species